rnacentral:rRNA from 1 species
AUUGAACGCUGGCGGCAGGCCUAACACAUGCAAGUCGAACGAGUGGCGGACGGGUGAGUAAUGUCUGGGAAACUGCCUGAUGGAGGGGGAUAACUCCUGGAAACGGUAGCUAAUACCGCAUACCCUCAGAUGUGCCCACAUGGGAUUAGCUUGUUGGUUGGGUAACGGAUCACCAAGGCGACGAUCCCUAGCUGGUCUGAGAGGAUGACCAGCCACACUGUAACUGAGACACGGCCCAGAUGCCUACGGGAGGCAGCAGUUGGGAAUAUUGUACAAUGGGCGCAAGCCUGAGGCAGCCAUGCCGCGUGUAUGAAGAAGGCUUUCGGGUGGUAAAGAACUUUCAGCGGGGAUGCGUUACCCGCAGAAGAAGCACCGGCUAACUCCGUGCCAGCAGCCGCGGUAAUUC